rnacentral:rRNA from 1 species
UGACGAUCAUAGAGCGUUGGAACCACCUGAUCCCUUCCCGAACUCAGUAGUGAAACGACGCAUCGCCGAUGGUAGUGUGGGGUC